rnacentral:antisense_RNA from 1 species
GAUUAUGGUGGGUGGCGUUUGGGAGGCCGAAAGGCCUGCCGGUUCCAGAACCCGGUCUGCUAACCCGAACGUCAUCCAUCGCCCGU